GACGUAGGGCGCGAGCGUUGUCCGGAUUUAUUGGGCGUAAAGAGCUCGUAGGCGGUUUGUUGCGUCGGCUGUGAAAUCCCGAGGCUCAACCUCGGGUCUGCAGUCGAUACGAGCAAACUAGAGUGUUGCAGGGGAGACUGGAAUUCCUGGUGUAGCGGUGAAAUGCGUAGAUAUCGGGAGGAACACCAGAGGCGAAGGCGGCGAACUGGACAGUAACUGACACUCAACUGCGAAAGCGUGGGGAGCAAACAGG
rnacentral:rRNA from 1 species